rnacentral:rRNA from 1 species
UACAGAGGUCUCAAGCGUUGUUCGGAUUCAUUGGGCGUAAAGGGUGCGUAGGUGGUGGGGUAAGUCGGAUGUGAAAUCCCGGGGCUCAACCCCGGAACUGCAUUCGAUACUGCCUUGCUCGAGUACUGGAGAGGAGACUGGAAUUUACGGUGUAGCAGUGAAAUGCGUAGAUAUCGGGAGGAACACCAGUGGCGAAGGCGGCUUCCUGGCCUGCUCUUGACGCUGAGGCGCGAAAGCUAGGGUAGCAAACGGGG